GAUGAACGCUGGCGGCGUGCCUAAUACAUGCAAGUCGAGCGAACGGACGAGAAGCUUGCUUCUCUGAUGUUAGCGGCGGACGGGUGAGUACCACGUGGAUAACCUACCUAUAAGACUGGGAUAACUUCGGGAAACCGGAGCUAAUACCGGAUAAUAUUUUGAACCGCAUGGUUCAAAAGUGAAAGACGGUCUUGCUGUCACUUAUAGAUGGAUCCGCGCUGCAUUAGCUAGUUGGUAAGGUAACGGCUUACCAAGGCAACGAUGCAUAGCCGACCUGAGAGGGUGGUCGGCCAGACGGGAACUGAGGCACGGUCCAGACUCCGACGGGAGGCAGCAGUAGGGAAUCUUCCGCGAUGGGCGAAAGCCGGACGGAGCAACGCCGCGUGAGUGAUGAAGGUCUUCGGAUCGUAAAACUCUGUUAUUAGGGAAGAACAUAUGUGUAAGUAACUGUGCACAUCUUGACGGUACCUAAUCAGAAAGCCACGGCUAACUACGUG
rnacentral:rRNA from 1 species